CAAUAAGCGGAGGAAAAGAAACCAACCGGGAUUGCCUUAGUAACGGCGAGUGAAGCGGCAAAAGCUCAAAUUUGAAAUCUGGCACCUUCGGUGUCCGAGUUGUAAUUUGAAGAAGCUACUUUGGGGCUAGUCCUUGUCUAUGUUCCUUGGAACAGGACGUCAUGGAGGGUGAGAAUCCCGUAUGGCGAGGAGUCUAGUCCUAUGUAAAGUGCUUUCGACGAGUCGAGUUGUUUGGGAAUGCAGCUCUAAGUGGGUGGUAAAUUCCAUCUAAAGCUAAAUAUUGGCGAGAGACCGAUAGCGAACAAGUACAGUGAUGGAAAGAUGAAAAGAACUUUGAAAAGAGAGUGAAAAAGUACGUGAAAUUGUUGAAAGGGAAGGGCAUUUGAUCAGACAUGGUGUUUUGCGACCCUCGCUCCUUGUGGGUGGGGAUCUCGCAGCUCACUGGGCCAACAUCAGUUUUGGCGGUAGGAUAAAUCUUUGGGAAUGUGGCUUGUCUUCGGAGAAGCGUUAUAGCCCAGGGGAAUACUACCAGCCGGGACUGAGGACUGCGACUUUUGUCAAGGAUGUUGGCAUAAUGGUUAAAUGCCGCCC
rnacentral:rRNA from 1 species